rnacentral:rRNA from 1 species
GGGGGCCCGCAAGCGGUGGAGCAUGUGGUUUAAUUCGACGCAACGCGAAGAACCUUACCUGGGCUCGAAAUGGAGUGGACCGCGGUUGAAAGAUCGCUUCCCAGCAAUGGGCUGCUCUAUAGGUGCUGCAUGGCUGUCGUCAGCUCGUGUCGUGAGAUGUUGGGUUAAGUCCCGCAACGAGCGCAACCCUUACCUCCAGUUGCCAUCAUUUAGUUGGGCACUCUGGCGGAACCGCCUCGGAUAACGGGGAGGAAGGUGGGGAUGACGUCAAGUCCUCAUGGCCUUUAUGUCCAGGGCUACACACGUGCUACAAUGGCCGGUACAAACCGUCGCAAACCCGCGAGGGGGAGCUAAUCGGAAAAAGCCGGCCUCAGUUCGGAUCGCAGUCUGCAACUCGACUGCGUGAAGCUGGAAUCGCUAGUAAUCGCGGAUCAGAACGCCGCGGUGAAUACGUUCCCGGGCCUUGUACACACC